GAUUAACGCUGGCGGCGUGCAUAACACAUGCAAGUCGAACGAAGUCGCGGACGGGUGAGUAACGCGUGAGUAACCUGCCUUAGAGAAGGGGAUAGCCUUUGGAAACGAAGAAUAAUACCCUAUGCUCUCAGAUGGACUUGCGUCUGAUUAGUUAGUUGGUGGGGUAACGGCCCACCAAGACAGCGAGCAGUAGCCGGCUUGAGAGAGUGGACGGCCACAUUGGGACUGAGACACGGCCCAGAUUCGACGAGAGGCAGCAGUGGGGAACUGUGCACAAUGGGGGAAAGCCGGAUGCUGCGGCGCCGCGUGAUUUAGUAGGCCUUCGGGUUGUAGAAAUCUUGUCUAUGGGAAGCAGUACCAUAGGAAUAAGGACCGGCUAAUUACGUGCCAGCAGCCGCGGUAAUAC
rnacentral:rRNA from 1 species